GAUCAUGGCUCAGGAUGAACGCUGGCGGCGUGCCUAAUACAUGCAAGUCGAACGCGAGCACUUGUGCUCGAGUGGCGAACGGGUGAGUAAUACAUAAGUAACCUGCCCUAGACAGGGGGAUAACUAUUGGAAACGAUAGCUAAGACCGCAUAGGUACGGACACUGCAUGGUGACCGUAUUAAAAGUGCCUCAAAGCAACUGGUAGAGGAUGGACUUAUGGCGCAUUAGCUGGG
rnacentral:rRNA from 1 species